rnacentral:rRNA from 1 species
AUUAGUUAAAUUAUUUUAGUUAGGUAUCUAUGUGACUACCAUAAUUUCUUGUAAAAAAAGGUCUUCAAACUUAAAGAUCUACAUAGAUUAAAGCUUGGCUCUGACUUCAAGUAUGAUAAAGAACUAAAAAACACACAUGGUUUUUAUGGAAGGAGGCGAGGAGAAGAGUAAACACAUAGAUUAGAAAAACUAAUGUCUGUUUUCUCUUUAUAAUAUUAUAGUUUUAAAUGAUAUUUUGAAAUGUCCCGCUAACACCAGUGCUGAAGGUUAAAAAAAAAGUGUAAACUUGGGUUAAUUUAGUUCAGAAAAUCUGGUUAACUUGGUGCCAGCAUCCGCGGUUAAACCAAGAAGAUUAAGUCAUGCAUUUUUGGUGAAAAGACAGUUAAGCGGAAUAAAAAGUUUGUUUAAUAGCCAUCAAGAAGUAAAAUUCGUAGAUAGCUUAAAAACUUAUUCAAAACUAAAAAGCUGAAGCUGUGACACCCUUGAGGGAAACUGGGAUUAGAUACCCCACUAUUCUUGGAGGUAAAAAAAUAUAAAUUUACCAGAGUACUAUGGAUCAAUUACAUUUAAAACUCAAAGAGCUUGGCGGUGUUUUAGACUCUUUAGCGGGAGCCUGUCUCAUAAUCGACAAUCCACGUAAGACCUGACCUUUAUUUGCUUUCAGUUUGUAUACCGUCGUCGUCAGGUAACUUUUUAGAAAAAAGAAGUUAGCAAAAGAGUUUCUAAUAAACUCUCACGUCAGAUCAAGGUGCAGCCAAUAUAAAGGAGAGGAUGGGCUACAAUUAUAAAAGUUAUAAUUACGGAAUAACUGCCUUAAAUAGCAGUUAUGAAGGAGGACUUAAAAGUAAAACACAAUACAUAAGUGUAUUGAAUCGAGCUCUGAAACGUGCACACAUCGCCCGUCGCUCUCGUUGAAAAACGAGAUAAGUCGUAACAUAGCAGGGGUAAUGGAAAUUGUCCCUAAACU